rnacentral:rRNA from 1 species
AUACGGAGGGUGCAAGCGUUGUCCGGAUUUAUUGGGUUUAAAGGGUGCGCAGGCGGUGCGUUAAGUCAGUGGUGAAAUCUUCCGGCUCAACCGGGAAACUGCCAUUGAUACUGGCGCACUUGAGUACGGACGAGGUAGGCGGAAUUUAUGGUGUAGCGGUGAAAUGCAUAGAUACCAUAAAGAACACCGAUAGCGAAGGCAGCUUACCAGACCGUAACUGACGCUCAGGCACGAAAGCGUGGGGAGCAAACAGGAUUAGAGACCCUAGUAGUCC